GUGGGGAAUAUUGGGCAAUGGGGGAAACCCUGACCCAGCAACGCCGCGUGAAGGAAGAAGGUUUUCGGAUCGUAAACUUCUAUCCUUGGUGAAGAUAAUGACGGUAGCCAAGAAGGAAGCCCCGGCUAACUACGUGCCAGCAGCCGCGGUAAUACGUAGGGGGCAAGCGUUGUCCGGAAUGAUUGGGCGUAAAGGGCGCGUAGGCGGCCUGGUAAGUCUGGAGUGAAUGUCCUGCUUUGAAGGUGGGAAUUGCUUUGGAUACUGUCGGGCUUGAGUGCAGGAGAGCUAAGCGGAAUUCCCGGUGUAGCGGUGAAAUGCGUAGAGAUCGGGAGGAACACCAGUGGCGAAGGCGGCUUACUGGACUGUAACUGACGCUGAGGCGCGAAAGUGUGGGGAGCAAACAGGAUUAGAAACCCGAGUAGUCC
rnacentral:rRNA from 1 species